GAUGAACGCUGGCGGCGUGCCUAAUACAUGCAAGUCGAACGGAGACAUUGUAGCAAUACGAUGUUCUUAGUGGCGAACGGGUGAGUAACGCGUUGGUGACCUGCCCCGAAGCGGGGGAUAACAGUCCGAAAGGACUGCUAAUACCCCAUGUGGUCUCAGGGAUUAGAUGCCCUGAGUCUAAAGGAGUAAUCCACUUUGGGAGGGACCUGCGUCCCAUCAGCUAGUUGGUAAGGUAACGGCCUACCAAGGCUUCGACGGGUAGGGGACCUGAGAGGGUGGCCCCCCACAAUAGGAACGUAGAACAACGGUCCGACUAACACCUACCGGGAAGGGCGACG
rnacentral:rRNA from 1 species